rnacentral:rRNA from 1 species
CCUUCUUUUUCCCGCUUUUUCCGGAAUCAUUGGGCGUAAAGAGCGUGUAGGCGGCCCGAUAAGUCCGCCGUGAAAGCCCAGGGCUCAACCCUGGGAUGCCGGUGGAUACUGUCGGGCUAGAGUUCGGAAGAGGCAAGUGGAAUUCCUGGUGUAGCGGUGAAAUGCGCAGAUAUCAGGAGGAACACCUAUGGCGAAGGCAGCUUGCUGGGACGACACUGACGCUGAGACGCGAAAGCGUGGGGAGCAAACAGGA